rnacentral:rRNA from 1 species
GACGAACGCUGGCGGCGUGCUUAACACAUGCAAGUCGAGCGGUAAGGCCCUUUCGGGGUACACGAGCGGCGAACGGGUGAGUAACACGUGGGUGACCUGCCCUCAGCUCUGGGAUAAGCCUGGGAAACUGGGUCUAAUACCGGAUAUGACUCCAUGACGCAUGUUGUGGGGUGGAAAGCCUUGUGCGGCUGGGGAUGGGCCCGCGGCCUAUCAGCUUGUUGGUGGGGUGANGGCCUACCAAGGCGACGACGGGUAGCCGGCCUGAGA